AUCAAUAAGCGGAGGAAAAGAAACCAACAGGGAUUGCCUCAGUAACGGCGAGUGAAGCGGCAACAGCUCAAAUUUGAAAUCUGGCCCCCCGGGUCCGAGUUGUAAUUUGCAGAGGAUGCUUUUGGCGCGGUGCCUUCCGAGUUCCCUGGAACGGGACGCCAUAGAGGGUGAGAGCCCCGUACGGUUGGACACCAAGCCUGUGUAAAGCUCCUUCGACGAGUCGAGUAGUUUGGGAAUGCUGCUCAAAAUGGGAGGUAUAUUUCUUCUAAAGCUAAAUACCGGCCAGAGACCGAUAGCGCACAAGUAGAGUGAUCGAAAGAUGAAAAGCACUUUGAAAAGAGGGUUAAACAGCACGUGAAAUUGUUAAAAGGGAAGCGCUUGUGACCAGACUUGCGCCCGGUGAAUCACCCAGCUCUCGCGGCUGGGGCACUUUGCCGGCUCAGGCCAGCAUCAGCUCGCCGUCGGGGACAAAAGCUUCGGGAACGUAGCUCUCUUCGGGGAGUGUUAUAGCCCGCUGCACAAUACCCUUCGGCGGGCUGAGGUACGCGCUCCGCAAGGAUGCUGGCGUAAUGGUCAUCAGCGACCCGUCUUGAAACACGGACCAAGGAGUCAACCUUAUGUGC
rnacentral:rRNA from 1 species